CCUACGGGGGGCAGCAGUGGGGAAUAUUGGGCAAUGGAGGCAACUCUUACCCAGCAAUGCCGCGUGAAUGAAGAAGGUCUUCGGAUUGUAAAGUUCUUUAAUUGGGGACGAAAAAAAUGACGGUACCCAAGGAAUAAGCCCCGGCUAACUACGUGCCAGCAGCCGCGGUAAUACGUAGGGGGCAAGCGGUGUUCGGAAUGACUGGGCGUAAAGGGUGUGUAGGCGGUGUAGCAAGUUAGAAGGGAAAUACCUAGGGCUUAACUCAGGUGCUGCUUCUAAAACUGCUAUACUUGAGUGCAGUAGAGGAAAGUGGAAUUCCUAGUGUAGCGGUGAAAUGCGUAGAUAUCAGGAGGAACACCGGCGGCGAAGGCGGGCUGCUGGACCGCGACUGACGUUGAGGCUCGAAAGCGUGGGGAGCGAACAGGAUUAGAUACCCGGGUAGUC
rnacentral:rRNA from 1 species